ensembl:lncRNA novel transcript
AGAAAAGGAAAAGUUCUCACACUGAUAAACUCUCCCUUUCCCAAACUCAUCUUCAACCCCCUUGCACUGCCUGUUUAAUUCAGCGUCAUCAGAAAAUAACCCCAAAUGUCUUGCACUCCUGGCUUCUGCUGAUAGAGGAGAAAGGGCUUAAGACCCUGAAAAAAAAAAUUUAUAGGAAAAUUUCCCCAAAAGGUAAGCACAAUAAAAAGUCAAAAGGAGGUACGGGCUGAAGAAUGACUUCCUGCAAUGUGUAAUUUCAAGUUCCCAUACAGAUAACUCCUCUGAGGAUCUGAGGAACAUGUGUUCUUACCUUGUCCUGAUUCUCCUAUACAUCUUCUUGGGAGAGAACUGUGCAACUUAAAGGCUACCUUAUUUUGUACUGUGAAUGUCUCUGGAGCUCCUUGGGAAAAAAGUUAUCUGAUUUAGCUACUAUGUGCCUUUUGAAAGAAAAGGGCUAUGUAAGAAGACAGCAGUCUCACACUGUGCCAGAAAAACACUCCAAACUGAAAAUGAAAACAAAGUUUCACUUUUGGCUCUAGUGAUACUUGUUGUACUUGCUAUAGAACCAAUAAAAAUUGUUUAUCAAAAGGAAACCCUGAAACUUAAAGACAAUAGGAUCUGGAAGGACACGCCAGUGGAAAUUGGCUAUCUCUGUGGA